UCAGUAACACGUAGUCAACCUGCCCUGGAGACAAGGACAACCCCGGGAAACUGGGAUUAAUCCUUGAUAGGUCAUCUCACCUGGANAGGAGAGAUGGCUUAAAGGGGUACGCGGGCUUCUUCCGCGAAUUCGCUCCAGGAUGGGACUGCGUCCGAUCAGGCUGUUGGCGGGGUAAUGGCCCACCAAACCUGUAACCGGUACGGGCCUUGAGAGAGGUGGCCCGGAGAUGGACACUGAGAGAAGGGUCCAGGUCCUACGGGGCGCAGCAGGCGCGAAACCUUCGCAAUGCGCGAAAGCGUGACGAGGUUAAUCCGAGUGACUUCCGCUGAGGAGGUCUUUUGUCACCUGUAAAUAGGCAGGCGAAUAAGGGGAGGGCAAGCCUGGUGCCA
rnacentral:rRNA from 1 species